rnacentral:rRNA from 1 species
GACGAACGCUGGCGGCGUGCUUAACACAUGCAAGUCGAACGGAAAGGCCCUGCUUUUGUGGGGUGCUCGAGUGGCGAACGGGUGAGUAACACGUGAGUAACCUGCCCUUGACUUUGGGAUAACUUCAGGAAACUGGGGCUAAUACCGGAUAGGAGCUCCUGCUGCAUGGUGGGGGUUGGAAAGUUUCGGCGGUUGGGGAUGGACUCGCGGCUUAUCAGCUUGUUGGUGGGGUAGUGGCUUACCAAGGCUUUGACGGGUAGCCGGCCUGUGAGGGUGACCGACCACAUUGGGACUGAGAUACGGCCCAGACUCCUACGGGAGGCAGCAGUGGGGAAUAUUGCACAAUGGGCGGAAGCCUGAUGCAGCAACGCCGCGUGCGGGAUGACGGCCUUCGGGUUGUAAACCGCUUUCGCCUGUGACGAAGCGUGAGUGACGGUAAUGGGUAAAGAAGCACCGGCUAACUACGUG